rnacentral:rRNA from 1 species
GACAGAGGAUGCAAGCGUUAUCCGGAAUUAUUGGGCGUAAAGCGCGUGUAGGCGGUGGUUCAAGUCGGGUGUGAAAGCCCUCAGCUCAACUGAGGAAGUGCGCCCGAAACUGAAUCGCUAGAGUGUCGGAGGGGAAGGCGGAAUUCCCGGUGUAGAGGUGAAAUUCGUAGAUAUCUGGAGGAACACCGGUGGCGAAGGCGGCAUCCUGGACCGACACUGACGCUGAGGAGCGAAAGCCAGGGGAGCAAACGGG